rnacentral:lncRNA from 10 species
AAUCAGCUGGUGGACAAAAAAGGGACAAACAGCAGCAGAAGAGACAACCACCUAAAUUAAAUAAUUGCAUCCUACAGAAAUCUUUCUUGCUCAUCUCCUAAUAUCAUCGACUACCUCUUUUAGAUGAAGCAUUGAACAUCUCUGCAUAUGUUUUAUCUGAUGGACAGAGGUGAACCACAACACAACUCACACUAGUGCCCUGAGAGAGAAAGAGUUAAACUACUGAUCCUGAAGACAAGGGAGAGCUGGCAGUGCAGCUACAGGCGUGGCGGUGGCCGGUGCCGCAGAGUCGGAGCAAGGUCAAGUUUACCUACAGAACCAUACAC